CUAGGGGCAUUUCAAUUCAUGCGUCCAUAAUUAGUUGUUAUUACAGACGCAAUAAUUAGUGAAUUGGACUGCAAAAGAGUGAAGGGAUGAGAUUAAUUUUGUAGGCGCUACAAAAAUGUCUACAAAAGUAAAUAUAUAUUUCCAGGCGCCUUAAAAGCAUCCACAAUUAAGUUUUUCCUUACACAGACGAGUCUUUCACUUAGGCUCAUUUUAUGACCAUUCAUCGUCAUUGUUGCCACUGCCGUUGCAUCUCCAUUACUAUCACCACUGGUUCUUCAUCGCCAUUGUCGUUGCCUCCACUGUCGUCGUUGGAAUAUCGUUGUUGGUGCUACCUCUCCGUUAACGUCUCCAUUUUUGCUGCUUCUCUUCUCUAUAAAUUUCUCUCUCUAUCUCUCUGUCACCUUAUCUCCAUUUUUUUUUUGGUUCCCCUAUAUCUUAGGGUUUUGCGAUUGAAAUCACUGGCUUUCCUCCUUCUUUAUUCAGCCAAGAACACCAAAGAAUCAAGGGAUUUGUCUUUAAGAUUUGCUCACCAUUUUCCAAGAUUCAAGAUUAAUUGCAGACAAGCAGAGGUUGAACCUGAGAGAAUACGAGUUGGUGUCACUAUUGAGGCACAUAGCAUUUUGAGAUCAUGUGGGCGAGGGUGUGAUUGUCUCUUGGAUUACUCCAAAUGAACCUGGCUCAAGUACACUACUUUACUGGUCAGAAAAGAGCCACCUGAAUUACAGUGCCCAGGGCAUUUUUAUUACUUACAGCUACUUCAACUACACUUCUGGUUACCUCCAUCACUGCACCAUUGACGAUUUGGAGUUUGACACCAAUUUCUAUCAAGUUGGAAUUGGUAAUACCACAAGGAAAUUUUGGUUUAUUACUUUUCCAGGUCUUGGUCCGGAUGUUCCCUACACUUUUGGCAUUAUUGGUAACCAUACCUAAAUCAUAUAUUUGAUUUCAAUUUGUAAUAAGGUUUCAUUUAAUGUUUGAUCUUCAAUAUAAAAUGGCCUUACUUAUUUUUUUGGGGGGGAGGGCAGGGGAUAUUGGCCGAUCUCAUGAUUCAAACAGAACACUUACACAUUAUGAGUUAAACCCUGCAAAAGGGCAAAUCGUAUUGUUUGUUGGGGACAUUAUGUAUAGUACGGUGAAUUAAUUAAGUAUUUUUUUUUUGGCA